CGCGGCCUAUCAGCUUGUUGGAGAGGUAACGGCUCACCAAGGCAUCGACGGGUAGCUGGUCUGAGAGGAUGAUCAGCCACACUGGGACUGAGACACGGCCCAGACUCCUACGGGAGGCAGCAGUGGGGAAUCUUGCACAAUGGGCGAAAGCCUGAUGCAGCAACGCCGCGUGCGGGAAGAAGGCCCUAGGGUUGUAAACCGCUUUCAGUAGGGAAGAAAAUGACGGUACCUACAGAAGAAGGUGCGGCCAACUACGUGCCAGCAGCCGCGGUGACACGUAGGCACCAAGCGUUAUCCGGAUUUAUUGGGCGUAAAGAGCUCGUAGGCGGUUUGGUAAGUCGGGUGUGAAAACUCUGGGCUCAACCCAGAGAGGCCACCCGAUACUGCUAUGACUAGAGUACGGUAGGGGAGCGGGGAAUUCAUGGUGUAGCGGUGAAAUGCGCAGAUAUCAUGAGGAACACCAGCGGCGAAGGCGCCGCUCUGGGCCGUAACUGACGCUGAGGAGCGAAAGCAUGGGUAGCAGACAGGAUUAGAUACCCUGGUAGUCCAUGCCGUAAACGUUGGGCACUAGGUGUGGGUCUCAACCAACGAGAUCCGCGCCGUCGCUAACGCAUUAAGUGCCCCGCCUGGGGAGUACGG
rnacentral:rRNA from 1 species